rnacentral:rRNA from 1 species
AUUGAACGCUGGCGGCGGGCCUAAUACAUGCAAGUCGAACGCGUGGCGGACGGGUGAGUAAUGUCUGGGACACUGCUUGAUGGCGGGGGAUAACUACUGGAACCGGUAGCUAAUACCGCAUACCAUCAGCUUUGACCAGAGUGGAUUGGGUAGUGGGUGGGGUAACGGCUAACAAAGGCGACGAUCCCUAGUUGGUCUGAGAGGUUGACCGGCCACACUGGAACUGAGACACGGUCCAGACUCCUACGGGAGGCAGCAGUAGGGAAUAUUGCACAAUGGGCGAAAGCCUGAUGGAGCCAUGCCGCGUGUGUGAAGAAGGCCUUCGGAUUGUAAAGUACUUUCAGCAGGGAAGCGUUACCCGAAGAAGAAGCACCGGCUAACUCCGUGCCAGCAGCCGCGGUAAUAC